AAUUCUCGGAGGCAUGCCAGCUAAAAUAUCACAGGGUUUACCGCGAAGGAUUCUCGCUUCAUCAAGCCAUUGCCCUUUUUGCUGCGCGUGCCGGCAGGGAUUCAUUGGGACUUCAUUUCCUCUAGGAUCUGUGUUUUACGAUUACAGACGUUGAAACCCUAUCGAUUCGAUUCAGCUCAUGAUGUCCUAGUCAUGGUUAUUCCGCAUUAUCACCUCUGGAUAUAUCUACUUCUCUAUGUUUCGGUCUAGUGCUGACUUGUUUCCUGGGGACGCGUCUUAGCCUGGGAAGGGAACCAGUAGGUGGAUCCUGCACUCGUUCGAUCCUUUGACGUACAAAUACGUAGGUUGGAUGAUAUCUAUUCUCAUCGGAGGUUGAAAUACACAUCGCUCUUAUUUAGCGCGGUAGGGCUACAUGUUGUGUGAGCCUUGGCAGAUGAGCAACCCGAUUAGUUCCAGUUGAAGCUAGUGGCACAAUACUGUGAGAAAAAUUAUAAUUAUGAUUCGCCAUCUACGAAAUGUAGUCAACUAUACCACCCAUAGGGUGUCUGCAUUGACGAACAUCGCAGGUUCAUACCGGAAAAGGGCGAAACUUUGUUCCCUGAGUUGAGUCGGGCG
rnacentral:sRNA from 1 species